GUGCUUGCUUUGGCAGCACAUAUACUAAAAUUGGAACGAUACAGAGAUUAGCAUGGCGCAAGCAAGGAUGACAUACAACUUCGUGAAGCAUUCCAUAUUUAA